rnacentral:rRNA from 1 species
CAGCCGCCGCGGUAAUACGUAGGGUGCGAGCGUUAAUCGGAAUUACUGGGCGUAAAGCGUGCGCAGGCGGUUAUACAAGACAGAUGUGAAAUCCCCGGGCUCAACCUGGGACCUGCAUUUGUGACUGUAUAGCUAGAGUACGGUAGAGGGGGAUGGAAUUCCGCGUGUAGCAGUGAAAUGCGUAGAUAUGCGGAGGAACACCGAUGGCGAAGGCAAUCCCCUGGACCUGUACUGACGCUCAUGCACGAGAGCGUGGGGAGCAAACAGGAUUAGAUACCCCGGUAGUCCCUGUCUCUUAUAC